rnacentral:rRNA from 1 species
CUAAUCUGCGAUAAGCGUCGGUAAGGUUAUAUGAACCGUUAUAACCGGCGAUUUCCGAAUGGGGAAACCCAGUGUGAUUCGUCACACUAUCAUUAACUGAAUCCAUAGGUUAAUGAGGCGAACCGGGGGAACUGAAACAUCUAAGUACCCCGAGGAAAAGAAAUCAACCGAGAUUCCCCCAGUAGCGGCGAGCGAACGGGGAGCAGCCCAGAGCCUGAAUCAGUGUGUGUGUUAGUGGAAGCGUCUGGAAAGGCGCGCGAUACAGGGUGACAGCCCCGUACACAAAAAUGCACAUGCUGUGAGCUCGAUGAGUAGGGCGGGACACGUGGUAUCCUGUCUGAAUAUGGGGGGACCAUCCUCCAAGGCUAAAUACUCCUGACUGACCGAUAGUGAACCAGUACCGUGAGGGAAAGGCGAAAAGAACCCCGGCGAGGGGAGUGAAAAAGAACCUGAAACCGUGUACGUACAAGCAGUGGGAGCACGCUUAGGCGUGUGACUGCGUACCUUUUGUAUAAUGGGUCAGCGACUUAUAUUCUGUAGCAAGGUUAACCGAAUAGGGGAGCCGAAGGGAAACCGAGUCUUAACUGGGCGUUAAGUUGCAGGGUAUAGACCCGAAACCCGGUGAUCUAGCCAUGGGCAGGUUGAAGGUUGGGUAACACUAACUGGAGGACCGAACCGACUAAUGUUGAAAAAUUAGCGGAUGACUUGUGGCUGGGGGUGAAAGGCCAAUCAAACCGGGAGAUAGCUGGUUCUCCCCGAAAGCUAUUUAGGUAGCGCCUCGUGAAUUCAUCUCCGGGGGUAGAGCACUGUUUCGGCAAGGGGGUCAUCCCGACUUACCAACCCGAUGCAAACUGCGAAUACCGGAGAAUGUUAUCACGGGAGACACACGGCGGGUGCUAACGUCCGUCGUGAAGAGGGAAACAACCCAGACCGCCAGCUAAGGUCCCAAAGUCAUGGUUAAGUGGGAAACGAUGUGGGAAGGCCCAGACAGCCAGGAUGUUGGCUUAGAAGCAGCCAUCAUUUAAAGAAAGCGUAAUAGCUCACUGGUCGAGUCGGCCUGCGCGGAAGAUGUAACGGGGCUAAACCAUGCACCGAAGCUGCGGCAGCGACGCUGAUGCGUUGUUGGGUAGGGGAGCGUUCUGUAAGCCUGCGAAGGUGUGCUGUGAGGCAUGCUGGAGGUAUCAGAAGUGCGAAUGCUGACAUAAGUAACGAUAAAGCGGGUGAAAAGCCCGCUCGCCGGAAGACCAAGGGUUCCUGUCCAACGUUAAUCGGGGCAGGGUGAGUCGACCCCUAAGGCGAGGCCGAAAGGCGUAGUCGAUGGGAAACAGGUUAAUAUUCCUGUACUUGGUGUUACUGCGAAGGGGGGACGGAGAAGGCUAUGUUGGCCGGGCGACGGUUGUCCCGGUUUAAGCGUGUAGGCUGGUUUUCCAGGCAAAUCCGGAAAAUCAAGGCUGAGGCGUGAUGACGAGGCACUACGGUGCUGAAGCAACAAAUGCCCUGCUUCCAGGAAAAGCCUCUAAGCAUCAGGUAACAUCAAAUCGUACCCCAAACCGACACAGGUGGUCAGGUAGAGAAUACCAAGGCGCUUGAGAGAACUCGGGUGAAGGAACUAGGCAAAAUGGUGCCGUAACUUCGGGAGAAGGCACGCUGAUAUGUAGGUGAAGUCCCUCGCGGAUGGAGCUGAAAUCAGUCGAAGAUACCAGCUGGCUGCAACUGUUUAUUAAAAACACAGCACUGUGCAAACACGAAAGUGGACGUAUACGGUGUGACGCCUGCCCGGUGCCGGAAGGUUAAUUGAUGGGGUUAGCGCAAGCGAAGCUCUUGAUCGAAGCCCCGGUAAACGGCGGCCGUAACUAUAACGGUCCUAAGGUAGCGAAAUUCCUUGUCGGGUAAGUUCCGACCUGCACGAAUGGCGUAAUGAUGGCCAGGCUGUCUCCACCCGAGACUCAGUGAAAUUGAACUCGCUGUGAAGAUGCAGUGUACCCGCGGCAAGACGGAAAGACCCCGUGAACCUUUACUAUAGCUUGACACUGAACAUUGAGCCUUGAUGUGUAGGAUAGGUGGGAGGCUUUGAAGUGUGGACGCCAGUCUGCAUGGAGCCGACCUUGAAAUACCACCCUUUAAUGUUUGAUGUUCUAACGUUGACCCGUAAUCCGGGUUGCGGACAGUGUCUGGUGGGUAGUUUGACUGGGGCGGUCUCCUCCUAAAGAGUAACGGAGGAGCACGAAGGUUGGCUAAUCCUGGUCGGACAUCAGGAGGUUAGUGCAAUGGCAUAAGCCAGCUUGACUGCGAGCGUGACGGCGCGAGCAGGUGCGAAAGCAGGUCAUAGUGAUCCGGUGGUUCUGAAUGGAAGGGCCAUCGCUCAACGGAUAAAAGGUACUCCGGGGAUAACAGGCUGAUACCGCCCAAGAGUUCAUAUCGACGGCGGUGUUUGGCACCUCGAUGUCGGCUCAUCACAUCCUGGGGCUGAAGUAGGUCCCAAGGGUAUGGCUGUUCGCCAUUUAAAGUGGUACGCGAGCUGGGUUUAGAACGUCGUGAGACAGUUCGGUCCCUAUCUGCCGUGGGCGCUGGAGAAUUGAGGGGGGCUGCUCCUAGUACGAGAGGACCGGAGUGGACGCAUCACUGGUGUUCGGGUUGUCAUGCCAAUGGCACUGCCCGGUAGCUAAAUGCGGAAGAGAUAAGUGCUGAAAGCAUCUAAGCACGAAACUUGCCCCGAGAUGAGUUCUCCCUGACUCCUUGAGAGUCCUGAAGGAACGUUGAAGACGACGACGUUGAUAGGCCGGGUGUGUAAGCGCAGCGAUGCGUUGAGCUAACCGGUACUAAUGAACCGUGAGGCUUAACCUUACAACGCCGAAGCUGUU